rnacentral:sRNA from 1 species
AGGCUGUCCUGGCUGCCGGAAUCACCGCCGCAGCCUUAAGCUGCGGCGGCGUCCGUUUGGAGUUUCCAAACAUGCUGAUUUCGAGUCCGCGGGAUCAAGCGACGAAUUCGAAAUUGCCGGCGACCAGGGCAGUCUUG